rnacentral:rRNA from 1 species
AGCGAACGCUGGCGGCAGGCCUAACACAUGCAAGUCGAACGAACUCUUCGGAGUUAGUGGCGGACGGGUGGGUAACACGUGGGAACGUGCCUUUUGGUUCGGAAUAACUCAGGGAAACUUGUGCUAAUACCGAAUGUGCCCUUCGGGGGCAAGAUUUAUCGCCAUUAGAGCGGCCCGCGUCUGAUUAGCUAGUUGGUGAGGUAACGGCUCACCAAGGCGACGAUCAGUAGCUGGUCUGAGAGGAUGACCAGCCACACUGGGACUGAGACACGGCCCAGACUCCUACGGGAGGCAGCAGUGGGGAAUCUUGCGCAAUGGGCGAAAGCCUGACGCAGCCAUGCCGCGUGAAUGAUGAAGGUCUUAGGAUUGUAAAAUUCUUUCACCGGGGACGAUAAUGACGGUACCCGGAGAAGAAGCCCCGGCUAACUUCGUG